rnacentral:rRNA from 1 species
GGGUGUGAUCAUACCAGUACUAAAGCACCGAAUUCC